UACGUAGGUGGCAAGCGUUGUCCGGAAUUAUUGGGCGUAAAGCGCGCGCAGGCGGUCCUUUAAGUCUGAUGUGAAAGCCCACGGCUCAACCGUGGAGGGUCAUUGGAAACUGGGGGACCUGAGUGCAGAAGAGGAAAGUGGAAUUCCAAGUGUAGCGGUGAAAUGCGUAGAGAUUUGGAGGAACACCAGUGGCGAAGGCGACUUUCUGGUCUGUAACUGACGCUGAGGCGCGAAAGCGUGGGGAGCAAACAGG
rnacentral:rRNA from 1 species